CGGACGACGCUGGCGGCGUGCCUAAUACAUGCAAGUAGAACGCUGAAGAGAGGAGCUUGCUCUUCUUGGAUGAGUUGCGAACGGGUGAGUAACGCGUAGGUAACCUGCCUUGUAGCGGGGGAUAACUAUUGGAAACGAUAGCUAAUACCGCAUAACAAUGGAUGACACAUGUCAUUUAUUUGAAAGGGGCAAUUGCUCCACUACAAGAUGGACCUGCGUUGUAUUAGCUAGUAGGUGAGGUAAUGGCUCACCUAGGCGACGAUACAUAGCCGACCUGAGAGGGUGAUCGGCCACACUGGGACUGAGACACGGCCCAGACUCCUACGGGAGGCAGCAGUAGGGAAUCUUCGGCAAUGGGGGCAACCCUGACCGAGCAACGCCGCGUGAGUGAAGAAGGUUUUCGGAUCGUAAAGCUCUGUUGUAAGUCAAGAACGGGUGUGAGAGUGGAAAGUUCACACUGUGACGGUAGCUUACCAGAAAGGGACGGCUAACUACGUGCCAGCAGCCGCGGUAAUACGUAGGUCCCGAGCGUUGUCCGGAUUUAUUGGGCGUAAAGCGAGCGCAGGCGGUUUGAUAAGUCUGAAGUUAAAGGCUGUGGCUCAACCAUAGUUCGCUUUGGAAACUGUCAAACUUGAGUGCAGAAGGGGAGAGUGGAAUUCCAUGUGUAGCGGUGAAAUGCGUAGAUAUAUGGAGGAACACCGGUGGCGAAAGCGGCUCUCUGGUCUGUAACUGACGCUGAGGCUCGAAAGCGUGGGGAGCGAACAGGAUUAGAUACCCUGGUAGUCCACGCCGUAAACGAUGAGUGCUAGGUGUUGGAUCCUUUCCGGGAUUCAGUGCCGCAGCUAACGCAUUAAGCACUCCGCCUGGGGAGUACGACCGCAAGGUUGAAACUCAAAGGAAUUGACGGGGGCCCGCACAAGCGGUGGAGCAUGUGGUUUAAUUCGAAGCAACGCGAAGAACCUUACCAGGUCUUGACAUCCCGAUGCUAUUUCUAGAGAUAGAAAGUUACUUCGGUACAUCGGUGACAGGUGGUGCAUGGUUGUCGUCAGCUCGUGUCGUGAGAUGUUGGGUUAAGUCCCGCAACGAGCGCAACCCCUAUUGUUAGUUGCCAUCAUUCAGUUGGGCACUCUAGCGAGACUGCCGGUAAUAAACCGGAGGAAGGUGGGGAUGACGUCAAAUCAUCAUGCCCCUUAUGACCUGGGCUACACACGUGCUACAAUGGUUGGUACAACGAGUUGCGAGUCGGUGACGGCGAGCUAAUCUCUUAAAGCCAAUCUCAGUUCGGAUUGUAGGCUGCAACUCGCCUACAUGAAGUCGGAAUCGCUAGUAAUCGCGGAUCAGCACGCCGCGGUGAAUACGUUCCCGGGCCUUGUACACACCGCCCGUCACACCACGAGAGUUUGUAACACCCGAAGUCGGUGAGGUAACCUUUUGGAGCCAGCCGCCUAAGGUGGGACAGAUGAUUGGGGUGAAGUCGA
rnacentral:rRNA from 1 species